rnacentral:sRNA from 1 species
AAUGCUCCCUCAGACACUUAGUGAGGAAGCGUAAUUGGGAGACCACUGCAGGAACUGAGGUCCUGAAGGGGCCUGCAACAGCCCUCCCCUAGGGGAGCUCCCACUACUGGGGGAGACAGGCCAGAUGAGACUACCAAGAAGUCACACCCCUGCCUUCCCACAGGGAGCAGUGCUGGAUUUAGGUGGAGGUCAAGUGGCCCGAGGGUGAAGGUUAGAGGGCUCCUGAAGCCAGGCCAGGCUGGGUUCUCUGGCAGGGAGUGGGCGCCCAAGCCCAGGAUCACUGCCUUCUUGGUGGGAGUCUCCUAUACCAUCCUUCCCCUGUGCUCAACCCCUCCAGGAUCAUAGGGGCCACCCAGUUGUCUUGCUAGUAGGGGCCCUCUUUAUCCUUGAGAAGGUACAGGUUGAGACAGUGUUCGUGUCUUGCUUUUUUGGGCUGGGCCACCUUGGUCCCAUUCUUCUGGAUGCUCCUGGGAUUCAGGAAGUGAGGUCUUUGAAAUGAACCUUCAGGCUGCAAUUAACCCUAAGGAUUUACUGCAGCUUACAAAGAAGCUUUUUCUUUUCAGAGCUGUUGGCCAGGGGCCAGGGCUGUCCCCACUCCCAUCUGGUCCUGGCGGUCUGCCCUUGAGGCUGGGGCAAUAUGAGGAGUGUGCAGGCAAGUCCAAGGCUAUGACUCCCAUCAUGUCUCCAGGCUCCAGGUGUCUUCCUAGGUUGCCUGCCUGGUAACAACUGUAGUCAGUGUCUCACAGGCCCCAAAGCUCAGCUAAGUCUCCUCACCUGGGAAAAGGCUUCCUUCAUGGGCCCACUCCUCCCUGAUUCCCUUGUGUGCCUGAGAUCUUUUAACAAUAGUUCCCAUCACCGGGCAGUGAGUAGAUGCCUCAUACAGGGAAACCCCUCACUGCUGUACCAUGAUGAUUACAGGACAAGGACUUGGAGCCAGAUAGACCAGGAUCUGACCCCAGUUCAGCCAAUUACUAUCUGUCACCUUGGGCAAGCUGCUUAACCUCUCUGAACCUCAGUUUCCAAAUCUGUCAGUCAGGAUAAUAGUUCUUAUGGCCUGGGGUUGUGCAGGAAUGGAAUGGGAUAAUGCAUGGACUCCACAGAGUAAAUCAUGUAUGUGAUAGUGACAUUAUUUCUUCUUUAAAUGUCACUGUGACUUACUCUACUACCUUGAGGUCUGGUUCAGAAGUUCUGGUAAGAAGUUACAGGGUGAUCCUGUGAGUUUGCAUAGAGAAAGCACUCAGACACGGGCUGCAGGAACUGUGGCCACAUUUGAGAGCACUUGAGCUACUGCCACACACUCCAGAAUAUCUGGAGGCAGGAACAGAGAAGGGGAGGUUGUGCAUAGUAUAUUCCAGGCUCUGUGCUAGAUCCUUUGCAUUGGAGGCUUCAGUUAAUACAAAUUGUUUGUGGUAAGAUAGCAUUAUCUCCAAGCCUAGAGAGGCCAUGAGACUUGCCUGAGGCCAAAAUCUAGUAUGGUAGAAGCUGCUAGUCUCCAAUAACUUUCUACUAUUUUAUCAGGGUAAGAAAAGUUGUAGCAGGAAACAUGGCUGCCCAGAAUGAAGACUGCAUUUCCCAGUCUCCUGUGUGGGUAGGCAUGGUCACAUGACUGAGUUCUGGCCAAAGAGAAGUAAGUAGACGCGUUAUGCAGCAGUGUCUGGGAACCUUUCUUAAGACACAGGUUGUGCAUCUGCUGUCUGCUCCUUCUUCUUUAUCCCUCCCUCUGUUUUGCUACUUGGUAGGCAGGUGCUACCUUGAACCAUGAGGGCAAGGGCCACUCAAUAACAACACAAUAGCUGCUGUUGUGAAUUUUCCAUUACUCUCAUUUCUACCUCAUCUUAACUGAGAUGCCCUGUGAUAGAGUGGGGGAUUCGAACCUGAGUCAGUGAGCUGUUUCUCAACACAAUGCGAGGUUUCUGGGUCCCCUGUGUGCUCCUGCUGUACCUCAGCAGCUCUUAGGUGUGAAGCAUUCCUUAGAACUCUGAUGAGGUGGUGUUGAAGGAAGGGAGCCACUCUAAUGCAGCUUUUUGAACUCAUCCAUUCCAAAGAUGGCUCAGGGCCUUUGCUAGAUCCAGAGGCAGCUUGAGGGUGAAAGUCCAGGGCCUUGAGAGGGUAGAAGAGGUGACACUUCUAAGAUCCAGGAAACCCCAGCCUCUGCCACAAGACUGGCUGCACAGCUACCCCUGUGGCAGGUGAAGGCAGUGCUCAGGUAGUCCCGGGACUCUUUCUAAACUUCUCCGUCCUGGCCCUCAAUGUCCUCUGACAGACUCUAGCUUGCUGGGACACCUCUAAGGAAACUGCCAAGGGAAACUGCAGAAGCAGGAGCAGGUGAGAAGUGCCCCGGGUGUCCUCUUUCCAUGGGGGAAUUUGGAGAAGCAUUCUGAGCCCAGCAAAGUGUCAGGCAGGCAAGGUAAGGCCUCACCUGAUAGGAGGUAUAUCCUUGUACCUAGUCUCAGCAAGGAAGGUUGCCAGCUUCACGACUGUGUUGAGUUAAAAGGGCUGUAAGAUCCUUGGUAAACAACCAGAGCCUGAAUGUCACAGGGAAGAAGUUGGACUGGGACCCAAGACAGCUGGCUAUGUAUCUGGGAAAAUGCUAUUUAUAAACAGAGAAGAUAUUUAUUGGCUGGACAAUCCUGAGGAAGUCUCCCACCCUCUCAUUCUCAUUCAUAAAGUGGGGAUCAUGAUCACUACCUUUCAAGGUUGCUGUAACAUUGAAUGAGGUAAUGAAUAUGAAAACACUCAAAAUCUAUAAAGUAUCUACAAACCUGGAAGAUUAUAAUUCUGCAUUUGUACAGUAGAAAUAACAGUACCAUGGUUGCUAUUAGUGCCCAGCCAAACCCCCUUUACUGGUCUGGUACAACCCUCCAUCCCUGUCCACCGGCUGCUGUGAGGUUUGGCUGGUAACAGUUCACAGUUAUUCCCUCUGCAGAGACUUCCCCGGGAAUAGAAGCUGCCUUGCUUGGGGCUUGCAGCCAAUGCUUGUCUGACACAGGGGCAGGAAAGGCCAGUCCCCUACCUCAAGACAAGAUGAACUCUGGUGUAGCACAUGCUCCAGGGCUCCCCAUGAAAUCAGGCCAUGGCUCAGCCACAGCUGACACCACAGCCUGGCUCCCUCCUUCCCCACCCCACUCUCCUUCCUUUUCUUUCUUCUGAGGGUUCUUCCCCAAUAGAGGAAGAUGUGCACUGAAAUCUGUCCCAGCCUCUGCUUUUAAGGAAUCUGGCCCAAUUGUCUGCCUUACAAAGUUGCUAUGAGGCUUAAAUAAUAUAAUACAGAUAAAGAGAUUAGCCCAGUGCCUGGCAUAUAUAGUGCAUAUCCAAUUAAUGUUAAAGAUUGCCAUUAUCCAUGAGACUGGAGCAUCAGGAAAGUCUUAGUGUAAUAGUGAGGUGUGGAAAUCUGGUGAGUGAGUUAGCGGAUUGAAUUUUACAUGCUUAGGGACUGGGGCGGGCAGAGAGAAGGGCAGCUGGGUUUCCUUGGGUAUCACUGGUUCUCUGCUUUGGGCAGUAAGGGUCCUUUACACAGCUAGGAAAAAGUUCCAGUCAUUACAUACUUAUACCAGCAGAGGACGCCACUUCCAUACAAAUAAGUGUUUUCCUCUGCUAUCUGAUGCAGCUUUCAUCAAAGCAGUCUAGGCUGGCAGGAAAGAUCAGGUACAUGACAGAGCAGAAAGUGCCUUCAGAUUUGCACAGAUAAUAGGAGAGGGCAGAACAGAGAGAAACAGUGAGUUAAGCUGUUCAGGAAGCUUCCUGGGAUGUGAGGCCUUGAGCGGGGCACUCAAGCACCAGGAGUAUUGAGUGGAGAUGGCAUUCCCAGGGAAGCCACUACCCUAGGCAAGGUGACCAGGGCCUGAGCCAGGGCCGUGGCAGGGAGGCAGCCACGAGAGGGUAUGAAGGACAGGGACAGGACUGAUUUCAGCUGAGAGGUCUAGAAGGAGAUCAUGGGCCCACCAACAUGAGGUAGAAGUCAGGAAGGAGCACAUUUUUAUAGGACACAGCACACUUCUCCAACUGGUCUGACUGCCCUGUUACAAUGUCCUCUGCAAGCCAUCAUUCUGUAGGAUUCCUGUUUUGUGUGGAUUCUAGAAACCAGUGAAAUAUUCAGAGGUGUUAAUAGCAUCAAGAUUUCACUGGUUCUUUCCAUUCUUUUUAUUUUUAUUUUUUGAGAUGGGGUCUCAGUCCCUGCCCCAGGCUGGAGUGCAGUGGCACCAUCACAGCUCACCACAGGGCUCAGGUGAUCCUCCUGCCUCAGCCUCCUGAGUAGCUGAGACCAUAGAAUGGCUACAGGGGGCUAGCGGAUUUUUCCCCAGGUAACAUGAGGAUAUUUUUUUCCAGUCUUCAACAUGAGAACCUGGUGGACUUCUAGGGGUUUCAUGGUCCUGCUGAUGAUCCCAUGGGGCUCUGCUGCAAAACUGGUCUGCUACUUCACCAACUGGGCCCAAUACAGACAGGGGGAGGCUCGCUUCCUGCCCAAGGACGUGGACCCCAGUCUUUGCACCCACCUCAUCUAUGCCUUCGCUGGCAUGACCAACCAUCAGCUGAGCACCGUUGAGUGGAAUGACGAGACUCUCUACCAGGAGUUCAAUGGCCUGAAGAAGAUGAAUCCCAAGCUGAAGACCCUGUUAGCCAUCGGAGGCUGGAAUUUCGGCACUCAGAAGUUCACAGAUAUGGUAGCCACAGCCAAAAACCGUCAGACGUUUGUCAACUCGGCCAUCAGGUUUCUGCGCAAAUACGGCUUUGACGGCCUUGACCUUGACUGGGAGUACCCUGGAAGCCGGGGGAGCCCUGCCGUAGACAAGGAGCGCUUCACAGCCCUGGUACAGGAACCUGGAUUUUGUCAACCUUAUGGCCUACGACUUCCAUGGCUCUUGGGAGAAGGUCACGGGACAUAACAGCCCCCUCUACAAGAGGCAAGAGGAGAGUGGUGCAGCAGCCAGCCUCAACGUGGAUGCUGCUGUGCAACUGUGGCUGCAGAAGGGGACCCCUGCCAGCAAGCUGAUCCUUGGCAUGCCUACCUACGGACGCUCCUUCACCCUGGCCUCCUCAUCAGACACCAGAGUGGGGGCCCCAGCCACAGGGUCUGGCACUCCCGGCCCCUUCACCAAGGAAGGAGGGAUGCUGGCCUACUAUGAGGUCUGCUCCUGGAAGGGGGCCACCAAACAGAGAAUCCAGGACCAGGAGGUGCCCUACAUCUUCCGGGACAACCAGUGGGUGGGCUUUGAUGAUGUGGAGAGCUUCAAAACCAAGGUCAGCUAUCUGAAGCAGAAGGGACUGGGCGGGGCCAUGGUCUGGGCACUGGACUUAGAUGACUUUGCCAGCUUCUCCUGCAACCAGGGCCGAUACCCCCUCAUCCAGACGCUGCGGCGGGAACUGAGUGCAGAAACCACUUAGAGGAUUUCCAGACUGAAGUGCUAUUUCAUGACAAGCACACUACUCUCCCAAGCCCUUCUAUUGAAUACCACUGACUCUUUUAAUAUUAGUGUCCAGUCAUUAGUCCUGUCCUUCAAAGGGACAGGGGAAUUAACAUUUGUUGCAUAACCAGAGACCAUACUAAGCAUGUAUUAGACAUCCAGUAAAUAGUUACUGAAUGAAUA